rnacentral:rRNA from 1 species
UCUUAAUUGGGCGUUAAGUUGCAGGGUAUAGACCCGAAACCCGGUGAUCUAGCCAUGGGCAGGUUGAAGGUUGGGUAACACUAACUGGAGGACCGAACCGACUAAUGUUGAAAAAUUAGCGGAUGACCUGUGGCUGGGGGUGAAAGGCCAAUCAAACCGGGAGAUAGCUGGUUCUCCCCGAAAGCUAUUUAGGUAGCGCCUCGUGAAUUCAUCUCCGGGGGUAGAGCACUGUUUCGGCUAGGGGGCCAUCCCGGCUUACCAACCCGAUGCAAACUGCGAAUACCGGAGAAUGUUAUCACGGGAGACACACGGCGGGUGCUAACGUCCGUCGUGAAGAGGGAAACAACCCAGACCGCCAGCUAAGGUCCCAAAGUCAUGGUUAAGUGGGAAACGAUGUGGGAAGGCCCAGACAGCCAGGAUGUUGGCUUAGAAGCAGCCAUCAUUUAAAGAAAGCGUAAUAGCUCACUGGUCGAGUCGGCCUGCGCGGAAGAUGUAACGGGGCUAAACCAU